AAUCAACGCUGGCGGCGUGCCUCAGACAUGCAAGUCGAACGCGAAAGUUUCCUUCGGGAGACAAGUAGAGUGGCGCACGGGUGAGUAACACGUAGGUAAUCUACCUUUGGAUGGGGAAUAACAACCGGAAACGGUUGCUAAUACCGCAUAAUGCAGCGGCACCUAAUGGUGACAGUUGUUAAAGCGGGGGAUCGAAAGACCUCGCGUCUAAAGAGGAGCCUGCGGCGGAUUAGCUAGUGGUAAGGUAAUGGCUUACCAAGGCUACGAUCCGUAACCGGCCUGAGAGGGCGGUCGGUCACACUGACACUGACAUACGGGUCAGACUCCUACGGGAGGCAGCAGUCGGGAAUUUUGGGCAAUGGGCGAAAGCCUGACCCAGCAACGCCGCGUGAAGGAUGAAAUCCCUCGGGAUGUAAACUUCGCAAGAACGGGAAGGAUAAGUAGGGGACAAUACCCCCUACUGAUGACGGUAACCGUUAGUAAGCUCCGGCUAACUCCGUGCCAGCAGCCGCAGUAAC
rnacentral:rRNA from 1 species